AGAGUUUGAUCCUGGCUCAGAUUGAACGCUGGCGGCAUGCCUUACACAUGCAAGUCGAACGGCAGCACGGAGCUUGCUCUGGUGGCGAGUGGCGAACGGGUGAGUAAUAUAUCGGAACGUACCCUGGAGUGGGGGAUAACGUAGCGAAAGUUACGCUAAUACCGCAUACGAUCUAAGGAUGAAAGUGGGGGAUCGCAAGACCUCAUGCUCGUGGAGCGGCCGAUAUCUGAUUAGCUAGUUGGUAGGGUAAAAGCCUACCAAGGCAUCGAUCAGUAGCUGGUCUGAGAGGACGACCAGCCACACUGGAACUGAGACACGGUCCAGACUCCUACGGGAGGCAGCAGUGGGGAAUUUUGGACAAUGGGCGCAAGCCUGAUCCAGCAAUGCCGCGUGAGUGAAGAAGGCCUUCGGGUUGUAAAGCUCUUUUGUCAGGGAAGAAACGGUGGGAGCUAAUAUCUCCUGCUAAUGACGGUACCUGAAGAAUAAGCACCGGCUAACUACGUGCCAGCAGCCGCGGUAAUACGUAGGGUGCAAGCGUUAAUCGGAAUUACUGGGCGUAAAGCGUGCGCAGGCGGUUUUGUAAGUCUGAUGUGAAAUCCCCGGGCUCAACCUGGGAAUUGCAUUGGAGACUGCAAGGCUAGAAUCUGGCAGAGGGGGGUAGAAUUCCACGUGUAGCAGUGAAAUGCGUAGAUAUGUGGAGGAACACCGAUGGCGAAGGCAGCCCCCUGGGUCAAGAUUGACGCUCAUGCACGAAAGCGUGGGGAGCAAACAGGAUUAGAUACCCUGGUAGUCCACGCCCUAAACGAUGUCUACUAGUUGUCGGGUCUUAAUUGACUUGGUAACGCAGCUAACGCGUGAAGUAGACCGCCUGGGGAGUACGGUCGCAAGAUUAAAACUCAAAGGAAUUGACGGGGACCCGCACAAGCGGUGGAUGAUGUGGAUUAAUUCGAUGCAACGCG
rnacentral:rRNA from 1 species